rnacentral:tRNA from 1 species
UCCCUGGUGGCUCAGUGAGUUAAAGAUUGGCAUUAUCACUGCUGUGGCUCAGGUUUGAUCCCUGGCCCGGGAG